rnacentral:rRNA from 1 species
AUUGAACGCUGGCGGCAUGCUUUACACAUGCAAGUCGAACGGCAGCGGGGGCUUCGGCCUGCCGGCGAGUGGUGAACGGGUGAGUAAUGCAUCGGAACGUGCCCAUGUCGUGGGGGAUAACUACGCGAAAGCGUGGCUAAUACCGCAUACGCCCUGAGGGGGAAAGCGGGGGAUCUUUCGGGACCUCGCGCGAUUGGAGCGGCCGAUGUCGGAUUAGCUAGUUGGUGGGGUAAAGGCUCACCAAGGCGACGAUCCGUAGCUGGUCUGAGAGGAUGAUCAGCCACACUGGGACUGAGACACGGCCCAGACUCCUACGGGAGGCAGCAGUGGGGAAUUUUGGACAAUGGGCGCAAGCCUGAUCCAGCCAUGCCGCGUGAGUGAAGAAGGCCUUCGGGUUGUAAAGCUCUUUCGGCCGGGAAGAAAUCGCAUUCUCUAAUAUAGGAUGUGGAUGACGGUACCGGACUAAGAAGCACCGGCUAACUACGUGCCAGCCGCCGCGGUAA